rnacentral:misc_RNA from 1 species
UAAAAUAUACUAUGAACAUGUAAGAAAUCCAUCUUGUGUAAUCAAAUAGCCUUCUCCACCUACACUUCUUCUCACUGCCUGAUAAAGCUCAACCCAGGAAGAACAAUGCAAAUCCUCUGUUCCCCACAAGAACGUUGGAUUAGGGCUUGCAGGACACGCAGAAACCAAAUCCAACACCGAUGCAGCUGGUUUCAGUUGCUGAGGGAAAUUAAAAGCUAAAUUGUCAACUUUGUGUUCAUAAAUUUUCCCAUUUCGAUCCACCUUAUACCGAGAAGUCCCCUG